rnacentral:tRNA from 1 species
GCCAUCGUGGUGUAAUGGUCAGUACGCUCGGCUCGUAUUCGAAAGUCCUAGAUUCGAGUCCCGGCGAGGGUA